rnacentral:rRNA from 1 species
GACGAACGCUGGCGGCGUGCCUAAUACAUGCAAGUUGAGCGAUGAAGAUUGGUGCUUGCACCAAUUUGAAGAGCAGCGAACGGGUGAGUAACGCGUGGGGAACCUGCCUUUGAGCGGGGGACAACAUUUGGAAACGAAUGCUAAUACCGCAUAACAACUUUAAACAUAAGUUUUAAGUUUGAAAGAUGCAAUUGCAUCACUCAAAGAUGAUCCCGCGUUGUAUUAGCUAGUUGGUGAGGUAAAGGCUCACCAAGGCGAUGAUACAUAGCCGACCUGAGAGGGUGAUCGGCCACAUUGGGACUGAGACACGGCCCAAACUCCUACGGGAGGCAGCAGUAGGGAAUCUUCGGCAAUGGACGAAAGUCUAACCGAGCAACGCCGCGUGAGUGAAGAAGGUUUUCGGAUCGUAAAACUCUGUUGGUAGAGAAGAACGUUGGUGAGAGUGGAAAGCUCAUCAAGUGACGGUAACUACCCAGAAAGGGACGGCUAACUACGUG